AGUGAACGCUGGCGGUAGGCCUAACACAUGCAAGUCGAACGGCAGCACAGUAAGAGCUUGCUCUUACGGGUGGCGAGUGGCGGACGGGUGAGGAAUACAUCGGAAUCUACUUUUUCGUGGGGGAUAACGUAGGGAAACUUACGCUAAUACCGCAUACGACCUACGGGUGAAAGCAGGGGAUCUUCGGACCUUGCGCGAUUGAAUGAGCCGAUGUCGGAUUAGCUAGUUGGCGGGGUAAAGGCCCACCAAGGCGACGAUCCGUAGCUGGUCUGAGAGGAUGAUCAGCCACACUGAAACUGAGACACGGUCCAGACUCCUACGGGAGACAGGAGGGGGGAAUAUUGGACAAUGGGCGCAAGCCUGAUCCAGCCAUACCGCGUGGGUGAAGAAGGCCUUCGGGUUGUAAAGCCCUUUUGUUGGAAAAAAAAAGCAGCAGGUUAAUACCCCGCUGUUCUGACGGUACCCAAAGAAUAAGCACCGGCGAACUGCG
rnacentral:rRNA from 1 species